GAGUUUGAUCAUGGCUCAGGACGAACGCUGGCGGCGUGCCUAAUACAUGCAAGUAGAACGCUGAAGAGAGGAGCUUGCUCUUCUUGGAUGAGUUGUGAACGGGUGAGUAACGCGUAGGUAACCUGCCUUGUAGCGGGGGAUAACUAUUGGAAACGAUAGCUAAUACCGCAUAACAAUAGGUGACACAUGUCAUUUAUUUGAAAGGGGCAAUUGCUCCACUACAAGAUGGACCUGCGUUGUAUUAGCUAGUAGGUGAGGUAACGGCUCACCUAGGCGACGAUACAUAGCCGACCUGAGAGGGUGAUCGGCCACACUGGGACUGAGACACGGCCCAGACUCCUACGGGAGGCAGCAGUAGGGAAUCUUCGGCAAUGGGGGCAACCCUGACCGAGCAACGCCGCGUGAGUGAAGAAGGUUUUCGGAUCGUAAAGCUCUGUUGUAAGUCAAGAACGAGUGUGAGAGUGGAAAGUUCACACUGUGACGGUAGCUUACCAGAAAGGGACGGCUAACUACGUGCCAGCAGCCGCGGUAAUACGUAGGUCCCGAGCGUUGUCCGGAUUUAUUGGGCGUAAAGCGAGCGCAGGCGGUUUGAUAAGUCUGAAGUUAAAGGCUGUGGCUCAACCAUAGUUCGCUUUGGAAACUGUCAAACUUGAGUGCAGAAGGGGAGAGUGGAAUUCCAUGUGUAGCGGUGAAAUGCGUAGAUAUAUGGAGGAACACCGGUGGCGAAAGCGGCUCUCUGGUCUGUAACUGACGCUGAGGCUCGAAAGCGUGGGGAGCGAACAGGAUUAGAUACCCUGGUAGUCCACGCCGUAAACGAUGAGUGCUAGGUGUUGGAUCCUUUCCGGGAUUCAGUGCCGCAGCUAACGCAUUAAGCACUCCGCCUGGGGAGUACGACCGCAAGGUUGAAACUCAAAGGAAUUGACGGGGGCCCGCACAAGCGGUGGAGCAUGUGGUUUAAUUCGAAGCAACGCGAAGAACCUUACCAGGUCUUGACAUCCCGAUGCUAUUUCUAGAGAUAGAAAGUUACUUCGGUACAUCGGUGACAGGUGGUGCAUGGUUGUCGUCAGCUCGUGUCGUGAGAUGUUGGGUUAAGUCCCGCAACGAGCGCAACCCCUAUUGUUAGUUGCCAUCAUUCAGUUGGGCACUCUAGCGAGACUGCCGGUAAUAAACCGGAGGAAGGUGGGGAUGACGUCAAAUCAUCAUGCCCCUUAUGACCUGGGCUACACACGUGCUACAAUGGUUGGUACAACGAGUUGCGAGUCGGUGACGGCAAGCUAAUCUCUUAAAGCCAAUCUCAGUUCGGAUUGUAGGCUGCAACUCGCCUACAUGAAGUCGGAAUCGCUAGUAAUCGCGGAUCAGCACGCUGCGGUGAAUACGUUCCCGGGCCUUGCACACACCGCCCGUC
rnacentral:rRNA from 1 species